GACGAACGCUGGCGGCGUGCUUAACACAUGCAAGUCGAGCGAUGAAGUUCCUUCGGGAAUGGAUUAGCGGCGGACGGGUGAGUAACACGUGGGUAACCUGCCUCAUAGAGGGGAAUAGCCUUCCGAAAGGAAGAUUAAUACCGCAUAAGAUCGUAGUUUCGCAUGAAACAGCAAUUAAAGGAGUAAUCCGCUAUGAGAUGGACCCGCGUCGCAUUAGCUAGUUGGUGAGGUAACGGCUCACCAAGGCGACGAUGCGUAGCCGACCUGAGAGGGUGAUCGGCCACAUUGGGACUGAGACACGGCCCAGACUCCUACGGGAGGCAGCAGUGGGGAAUAUUGCACAAUGGGGGAAACCCUGAUGCAGCAACGCCGCGUGAGUGAUGACGGUCUUCGGAUUGUAAAACUCUGUCUUCAGGGACGAUAAUGACGGUACCUGAGGAGGAAGCCACGGCUAACUACGUGCCAGCCGCCGCGGUAA
rnacentral:rRNA from 1 species